CGUGUUUGGGCAAAAUAUUAAAAACUUUUGGAAAAAUAUGUAACAUAUGAAGUUUCUAAAUUUACUAAAGUAUUUUGAAAAAUAUAAACUGGAAAUUAUUUUCUGUGUUACUUUAUUUUCCGGAAAGAAGAAAAAUGUCAUGUCACAAUAUCUACAAAGAGACAUCAAAGAAUAUCUCAAGUUCUUUACCCCCGCCAUGUUAUCACCUCAGACCGAUACCAUUUUAUUGUCCGAGUGAUGGCUGUCCGCCCCCGGAACCGAGUCUUCCUAAACGGCGUUGUUUCUCACUUUUAUGCCCGCCAUUGACGUGCAGACCGCGACCGAAACGCUCACCGCCGCCACCUACUAUAUGCAUUGCUGGACCUUGCCCAAAACGAUCAGAUCGAGAAUCAUAUCGCUGCCCGUCAACACCAAAAAUACCGCCACCAGUCUCCUGUGUUCGAUUUUGCAUUCGUUACACGAACGGCGGAUCAAGCUGCUAUCCUUGCUACUGGACCAAUUUGUCAACGUGUUCUAGCAGCAUCUGCUCAAGAACUAUGUAACAAUAAGCUCGGCACACAAUUGAGAAAGAAUCUAUGACCACUUUCUAAAGUACUCGCAACUGUAAAACGAGUUAGUUGAAAUUAUCAUUAAAUGUAAUUUCUGUUCA